rnacentral:rRNA from 1 species
GAUGAACGCUGGCGGCGUGCCUAAUACAUGCAAGUCGAGCGAACAGACGAGGAGCUUGCUCCUCUGACGUUAGCGGCGGACGGGUGAGUAACACGUGGAUAACCUACCUAUAAGACUGGGAUAACUUCGGGAAACCGGAGCUAAUACCGGAUAAUAUAUUGAACCGCAUGGUUCAAUAGUGAAAGACGGUUUUGCUGUCACUUAUAGAUGGAUCCGCGCCGCAUUAGCUAGUUGGUAAGGUAACGGCUUACCAAGGCAACGAUGCGUAGCCGACCUGAGGGGGUGGUAGGCCACACUGGAACUGAGACACGGUCCAGACUCCUACGGGAGGCAGCAGUAGGGAAUCUUCCGCAAUGGGCGAAAGCAUGACGGAGCAACGGCGCGUGAGUGAUGAAGGUCUUCGGAUCGUAAAACUCUGUUAUUAGGGAAGAACAAAUGUGUAAGUAACUAUGCACGUAGUGACGGUAACUAAUCAGAAAGCCACGGCUAACUACGUG